rnacentral:rRNA from 1 species
AUUGAACGCUGGCGGCAUGCUUUACACAUGCAAGUCGAACGGCAACAGGCCGCAAGGUGCUGACGAGUGGCGAACGGGUGAGUAAUGCAUCGGAACGUGCCCAGUCGUGGGGGAUAACGCAGCGAAAGCUGCGCUAAUACCGCAUACGAUCUAUGGAUGAAAGCGGGGGACCGUAAGGCCUCGCGCGAUUGGAGCGGCCGAUGUCAGAUUAGGUAGUUGGUGAGGUAAAGGCUCACCAAGCCAACGAUCUGUAGCUGGUCUGAGAGGACGACCAGCCACACUGGGACUGAGACACGGCCCAGACUCCUACGGGAGGCAGCAGUGGGGAAUUUUGGACGAUGGGCGCAAGCCUGAUCCAGCAAUGCCGCGUGCAGGAAGAAGGCCUUCGGGUUGUAAACUGCUUUUGUACGGAACGAAACGGUCCGGGUUAAUACCCUGGGCUAAUGACGGUACCGUAAGAAUAAGCACCGGCUAACUACGUGCCAGCAGCCGCGGUAAAAC